rnacentral:lncRNA from 10 species
GUUUUGUCUCUUUAGAGGUCUGGCUGACAUGUACAGUGUCUUCUGCAAUUUACUAAUUAGUGUAACUUGUUUCAUUCUCACCCGCUCACCUUGAUACCUCUCCCUACUGUCUUGUGAUCAGACUUGCUCCCUCAAAAUAGAUGGAUAUAUUUUUCAAUGUAUUUAAAAUGAACUGGAGGCCGGGCGAGGUGGCUCACAUCUAUAAUGCCAGCACUUUGGGAAGCCGAGGAGGGUGGAUCACCUGAGGUCAGGAGUUCGAGACCAGCCUGACCAACAUGGUGAGCCCUCAUCUCUACUAAAAAUACAAAAAUUAGCCGGGCGUGGUGGCGCAUGCCUGUAACCCAGCUACUUGGGAGGCUGAGGCAGGAAAGUCACUUGAACUGGAGAGGCAGAGGUUACAGUGAGCCGAGAUCGCGCCAUUGUACACUCUAGCCUGGGCAACAAGAGCGAAACUCUGUCUCAAAAAAAAGAACUGGAACGUCAGAAUUGGAAUUUUCCAAUAGGGAGGAUAUCAAAGGGGACAGCUUUAACUGUUUCUCCUCUCAUGAUGUGCUCUUUUUCCCCUUGGUUUUCCUGCUCCUGCUCCGCAGCACACACAGGUUUCUAAACUACACUGAGGGGUGACUAGCCCUCUGUGGCCUUGGCCUGUUUGAUGUGAAUACCCUAUCUCCCUGGUGAGGCUUGGAGGCCUCAGUGGGAGGAGCAGUCAUGAUCGAUUCCUCAAUCAUGACAAAACCCAUAUAGCCUGCAGUUCCCUCUCCUUCCAUUCCUUGUCCCAGUUAAAAUACCUUUCAACUAGACUCCACUUUUGGAAUUGUCACUGACAAAGUUGUUUUCUGGGGAGGUGAGCCUCAGAGGUUUAAACACACUGGUCUUGCCCAGCACCUGAUACUUCAUUGUUGGAAGGAAUUAAAUCUAAUUGAAUAGAAUCAAAUCCAAAUUGAACGGGCAGGUUCUAAACCAGGCUUGCAGAUCAGGGCCAUCAGCCUCUUAAAUGCAGCCCAGAUGAGCCCACCGUUGUCUGGUGUCUGAGAGGAGGAGGGCACAGUGCGAGGGCCCAUUCUGGUUGUUUGGGGAUGUUUCUCUUAGCUCGUUGCUUGGAGGGUCUACCUGGUUUCUCAUAGCUGCUGCCUGGGGUAAAUGACUGGCUUUGAAUCAAGUCCCAGAGUGCAAGUGUCUGAGGGGAGCCUGGG